rnacentral:rRNA from 1 species
GACGGGGGGGGCAAGUGUUCUUCGGAAUGACUGGGCGUAAAGGGCGCGUAGGCGGUUCAUACAGUCAGAUGUGAAAUUCCCGGGCUUAACCUGGGGGCUGCAUUUGAUACGUGUGGGCUUGAGUGAGGAAGAGGGUUGUGGAAUUCCCAGUGUAGAGGUGAAAUUCGUAGAUAUUGGGAAGAACACCGGUGGCGAAGGCGGCAACCUGGUCCUUUACUGACGCUGAGGCGCGAAAGCGUGGGGAGCAAACAGG